rnacentral:rRNA from 1 species
GACGAACGCUGGCGGCGUGCUUAACACAUGCAAGUCGAACGGAAAGGCCCUGCUUUUGUGGGGUGCUCGAGUGGCGAACGGGUGAGUAACACGUGAGUAACCUGCCCUUGACUUUGGGAUAACUUCAGGAAACUGGGGCUAAUACCGGAUAGGAGCUCCUGCCGCAUGGUGGGGGUUGGAUAGUUUCGGCGGUUGGGGAUGGACUCGCGGCUUAUCAGCUUGUUGGUGGGGUAGUGGCUUACCAAGGCUUUGACGGGUAGCCGGCCUGAGAGGGUGACCGGCCACAUUAGGACUGAGAUGAGACCCAGACUCCUACGGGAGGCAGCGGUGGGGAAUAUUGCACAAGGGGCGGAAGCCUGAUGCAGCAACGCCGCGUGCGGGAUGACGGCAUUCGGGUUGUAAACCGCUUUCGCCUGUGACGAAGCGUGAGUGACGGUAAUGGGUAAAGAAGCACCGGCUAACUACGUG